rnacentral:tRNA from 1 species
GGCUUCAUAGCUCAGUGGUUAGAUCACUAGUCUUGUAAACCAGGGAUCAUGAGUUCCCAGCUCACUGGGGCCU